rnacentral:rRNA from 1 species
UACGGGGGGGGCAAGCGUUGUUCGGAAUUACUGGGCGUAAAGGGCUCGUAGGUGGCCAACUAAGUCAGACGUGAAAUCCCUCGGCUUAACCGGGGAACUGCGUCUGAUACUGGAUGGCUUGAGUUCGGGAGAGGGAUGCGGAAUUCCAGGUGUAGCGGUGAAAUGCGUAGAUAUCUGGAGGAACACCGGUGGCGAAGGCGGCUUCCUGGACCGACACUGACGCUGAGGCGCGAAAGCUAGGGGAGCAAACGGG